rnacentral:rRNA from 1 species
GGAAAAGAAACUAACCAGGAUUCCCUUAGUAAUGGCGAAUGAACAGGGAUUAGCCCAAAUUUAAAAUCACAAUACGUGAAUUGUAGUUUAUAAGAGGUUAGAACUAAAUUUUUUUUGCUUCAAAUUUCUUGAAAAAGAAUAAAGCAUAGGGUGAUAUUCCUUUCGGAAAAAAGAAGAAUAUAGUACUAACCUCUAAAGAGUCAUGUUGCUUGGGAAUGCAGCAUAAAUUGGGAGGUAAAUUCCUUCUAAGGCUAAAUACUGGUAAGAGUCCGAUAGUAAACAAGUACCUUAAGGGAAAGAUGAAAGAGAACCUUGAAAAGGGUCUCAAAAGGAAGUGAAAUUGUUAUAAGGAAACCACUUGAAACUUCUAAACAGCUGUAUUAAUAAUUUUAAAACAUUUUAUUAUUAUUAAUAUAGCGCUGGUUAUUAAUUAGCUUAAGUUUAUAAAAUUACAAGGUACAGGUCUUAAACAAUGUUUAAAAUCUUAUUACCUCAUAAUUUUUAAAACCAAAGCUCAUUUUUAAAGUCUUUUAUGGGAUUAGACUUUGAGAUUAAUAUUAUGAUAGAUUUAUCUUUAUUAAUAUUAAUUUUGAGGGAUAGAAUUAUAUAAGUAAUAAUAACUAAGAAGACUUAAGUGACCCGUCUUGAAACACGGACCAAGGAGUCUAACAUGUAUGCGAGUAUAAUGGGUCAAACCAUAAUGCGAAAUGAAAGUAAUUUUAGGAUAUGAAACCUUGCAGAGGGUGCAAUAUCAACCGAACUUUAAGGAAUUAUUCUUAUAAGUUGAGUGAGAGCAUAUAUGUUGGG